AAACGAUUGAAGUCGGACGUGCAGGGCAACUUGCAGGCCAACAUCGGUUUGGUUAGUCGGAUAAAGGUAAAGGGAAGGUGGCAGUUUCGGCUGUGUUAUAGCCCUCUACUGAAUACGAAUGACCGGACCGAGGACCGCAGCGUAAGCUUAGGAUGUUGGUGGAACGGCUUUAAACGA
rnacentral:rRNA from 1 species